UACAGAGGUCCCGAGCGUUGUUCGGAUUCACUGGGCGUAAAGAGCUCGUAGGCGGCUUGUCGCGUCGACUGUGAAAACCCGCGGCUCAACUGUGGGCUUGCAGUCGAUACGGGCAGGCUGGAGUUCGGUAGGGGAGACCGGAAUUCCUGGUGUAGCGGUGAAAUGCGCAGAUAUCGGGAGGAACACCAAUUGCGAAGGCAGCUCGCUGGGACGUCACUGACGCUGAGACGCGAAAGCGUGGGGAGCAAACAGG
rnacentral:rRNA from 1 species